rnacentral:tRNA from 1 species
GGGUAUAGCUCAGUGGUAGAGCACAUGCUUAGCAUACAAGAGGUCCUGGGUUCAAUCCCCAGUACCACCA